UACGGGGGGAGCAAGCGUUGUUCGGAUUUACUGGGCGUAAAGGGCGCGUAGGCGGCGCGACAAGUCACUUGUGAAAUCUCCGGGCUUAACUCGGAGCGGCCAAGUGAUACUGUCGUGCUAGAGUGCGGAAGGGGCAACUGGAAUUCUCGGUGUAGCGGUGAAAUGCGUAGAUAUCGAGAGGAACACCUGCGGCGAAGGCGGGUUGCUGGGCCGACACUGACACUGAGAGACGAAAGCUAGGGGAGCGAAUGGG
rnacentral:rRNA from 1 species